rnacentral:tRNA from 5 species
GCCUCGGUGGCUUAGCGGCUAAAGCGUUACAUUGAAGUCGUAAACAGGGGAGUUCGAUUCUCUCCCGAGGCA